AUUGAACGCUGGCGGCAUGCUUUACACAUGCAAGUCGAACGGCAGCACAGGGAGCUUGCUCCUGGGUGGCGAGUGGCGAACGGGUGAGUAAUGUAUCGGAACGUGCCUGGUAGUGGGGGAUAACUACUCGAAAGAGUGGCUAAUACCGCAUGAGAUCUUUGGAUGAAGGCGGGGGACCUUCGGGCCUCGUGCUACUGGAGCGGCCGAUAUCAGAUUAGGUUGUUGGUGGGGUAAAGGCCUACCAAGCCUGCGAUCUGUAGCUGGUCUGAGAGGACGACCAGCCACACUGGGACUGAGACACGGCCCAGACUCCUACGGGAGGCAGCAGUGGGGAAUUUUGGACAAUGGGCGCAAGCCUGAUCCAGCAAUGCCGCGUGCAGGACGAAGGCCUUCGGGUUGUAAACUGCUUUUGUACAGAACGAAAAGUCUCUGGCUAAUAUCUAGAGAUCAUGACGGUACUGUAAGAAUAAGCACCGGCUAACUACGUG
rnacentral:rRNA from 1 species